rnacentral:rRNA from 1 species
CAGCCGCCGCGGUAAUACGAAGGGGGCUAGCGUUGCUCGGAAUUACUGGGCGUAAGGGCGCGUAGGCGGACAGCUUAGUCAGAGGUGAAAGCCCAGGGCUCAACCUUGGAACUGCCUUUGAUACUGGCUGUCUUGAGUUCGGGAGAGGUGAGUGGAACGCCGAGUGUAGAGGUGAAAUUCGUAGAUAUUCGGCGGAACACCAGUGGCGAAGGCGACUCACCGGCCCGAUACUGACGCUGAGGCGCGAAAGCGUGGGGAGCAAACAGGAUUAGAUACCCGGGUAGUCCCUGUCUCUUAUACA